UGGUGUAGCGGUGAAAUGCUUAGAUAUCACGAAGAACUCCGAUUGCGAAGGCAGCCUGCUGGACUGUAACUGACGCUGAUGCUCGAAAGUGUGGGUAUCAAACAGGAUUAGAUACCCUGGUAGUCCACACAGUAAACGAUGAAUACUCGCUGUUUGCGAUAUACAGUAAGCGGCCAAGCGAAAGCGUUAAGUAUUCCACCUGGGGAGUACGCCGGCAACGGUGAAACUCAAAGGAAUUGACGGGGGCCCGCACAAGCGGAGGAACAUGUGGUUUAAUUCGAUGAUACGCGAGGAACCUUACCCGGGCUUGAAUUGCAACUGAAUGAUGUGGAGACAUGUCAGCCGCAAGGCAGUUGUGAAGGUGCUGCAUGGUUGUCGUCAGCUCGUGCCGUGAGGUGUCGGCUUAAGUGCCAUAACGAGCGCAACCCUUAUCGAUAGUUACCAUCAGGUUAUGCUGGGGACUCUGUCGAGACUGCCGUCGUAAGAUGUGAGGAAGGUGGGGAUGACGUCAAAUCAGCACGGCCCUUACGUCCGGGGCUACACACGUGUUACAAUGGGGGGUACAGAAGGCAGCUACACGGCGACGUGAUGCUAAUCCCGAAAGCCUCUCUCAGUUCGGAUUGGAGUCUGCAACCCGACUCCAUGAAGCUGGAUUCGCUAGUAAUCGCGCAUCAGCCACGGCGCGGUGAAUACGUUCCCGGGCCUUGUACACACCGCCCGUCAAGCCAUGAAAGCCGGGGGUACCUGAAGUGCGUAACCGCAAGGAGCGCCCUAGGGUAAAACUGGUGAUUGGGGCUAAGUCGUAACAAGGUAGCCGUACCGGAAGGUGCGGCUG
rnacentral:rRNA from 1 species